rnacentral:lncRNA from 1 species
UGAGAAGGAAAACAGAAAACAAUUUGCCAACGCCAGAGCGCGCAUUGAUGGCACGACUUGCUUAUAUACAGACAGACUACAGUUGCCAGAAUCAGGAAAGGAAGUUUCUUGUGCAAAUUGGCAUAUCAUUCGAAUAAAACUGAAGAAAAGAGCAGUUAAUAGCUUUAUUUGGUAAUGAGUACAGCUCCAACGUACGAAUCCAACGUGAUGACUUUUUAAGAGGACAAACAUCAGAAUGAUACAAAAAUGGGUGAAACUAGAGAAACAAAUGUGGAAUAAGCCCAGACCAUCAUGCCUGUGAAAGAAAAAGAUAUAUAGAGAAAUAUAAUUAUACAAUCAGGUUCUUCUCUGUUACUCUCUUUACAGAGUAAAAGAUUUCAAUUGAGGAUGCGAUGCAAUAAGGCAUCAUAGUAGAGAGAUAACUGGGUCAAUAAUCCUGGUCAUGUGUUGGGCUUACUGGAACAGAAACAUGCCCACAUGGGAUAAAUAAAUACUUUACUUUCUCUUUUAUUAGCUUAAGAUAUUUGAUGGGGAUAGUCAAUAAUAAAUCAUAUAGGAUGUGCAGCAGUACUUACCUCUCCCACAUUAGUCUGCUCAUUCCUCUAUCAACACUCAUAUCUGAGAUUAUGGGCUCUUCUUCAAUUUCUGCAUCAGUGAAAGUGAGGGCACGUUGCAAUUUCUUUGGAGAAAAUACCUCCACUUCAACCAUGUAAGAGGCAGUUACAGGCCGGUGAUCUGAAAACUUAAUCUCAUUCCUUCUAUAGCUUAUUAACCUCAUGCCCUUUCCAAAUGAGAGUACUCGGUCACACCUGGAGAAGCCAAUAUAGGAAAGUCAAAGGUUGAAAAAUGAAUUAAUCCAGAGAGGUUUGCACAAUGGUUUCAGUCUACAUGUUAAAGCCAGGUUAAGGAUAGGAGGUCAAUAUAUCCAAGCUAGCCUCAGAAGUAUGUACUACAUAGUUGUUGACCAAGGCAAGGAACUUGAAACUUACAAGCUAGUGAAGCUCGGAGCUAACUGCCGCAUGAUCUUUGACAAUUCACACACAUAAACAAUGAAAACUUUAAAAAGAUGAGACACUCUAUGUGAGCAAGUGAAAAUAUGCGUGCCUACAUUACUUAAUAGGAUAAACUUUCUUCUAACAGGUCUCUUGUUAUUUAGACACAUUUUUUAACAAAGAGAAGUCAUACACAAUGGUAAAAAUAAGCAUGUUGACCAAAGCUGAAUUUGGCAGGAAAAUGUGAAUUAUCUACUUAUAUGCUUUUUCCCCAAACAGAAAUGAUGUGUAUCCAGCUGAUUGAUGUGAUAUCUCCCUUUUAUUCUAGGUGCUAUGCUAUAUCCACGUCUCAUCCUAUCAUGAACAUUCCUGAUAUAUUUAUUUUGACACAAACAAUUUUCUAUUAAAGAAAUUGAUUAUUGCUUCUAUAAUGAGACAAUGAUCCGGCUCUGUAACUCUUUAUGAAAUUCCUUCUCCCAAAUUGGCAAUUAAAUCAUUUGCAGACCAAUAAAGCCAGCAUGUCAUGCUGUUGCAAUGCAUUGCAGUUGUUUUUGAGCACUUCUAUGGCACUUAAAAAAUGUGUUAUUGAGAAAAGGAUUUACUGCAGAGCACAUAAAAGACCCAACUUUGGUAUAUCAUCAUCCCAAAUUCAUCUUUCUUUUAUGUUUACCCCAUGUCCAUAGCCAUGCUUAUUAAAAGGACGAGGAGGUGAAAAUUAAAAAGAAAAGAACAGGAGACAGAUUAAACGGAUACACAACCCUCUGCAUCUUAUCCUCCAAGGAUACGGUGUCUAAACAGGGAUAGAUAUUAAUUUAAUGAACAAUUGCCUGAUGAUCAGCUAAACAAUGUAAAACCUUUCAGUGGUGCACUGAGUGCAUCUGUUAUCAGAAGAGGACAUAUCUAACUGGAAGCAAUUAAUAUCAAUGAAUUACAACCACAAAGAUAUUCUUAGUAAAAGUAGAACCAAAGCAAUUAGAUAGAUAGAACUUUAAGUGCAUACCAUGCGGGAGUACGUCUUCCUUUUGGAUCAUCGCCAAUGUACUUUUCUGAAUUGAUCUCAUAUUUAUAAGUUGGUGCAAAAGUCAGGAUACCUUCUGACCAUCCAUCAAAUGCACGACCUUUCCUCAGCUCUUUGAUAAGCUGCCAAAAGAUGAAGAUGUAAAUGGUUAAAACAUAUACUGACUGACAAAGUGACACAGGAUUCUAUUGGUGUUGCAACUGACUAUCUUGUGAGUCAACCUACACCAAAAGUUAUGCUAUUGAACUUAUUAACAUUGCUCUUAAAGAUAGUGAUCCAUUCAUCUUUCACAAUUUACUAAUGGAAAUCCCUCCUAACUCUUCUUUCUGUUCAGCCAUACCAAAGUGACGCUGUAGAUUUGUCAGUUUUCACCAAUACCACAGACCUCAAAGCAAUAGACAUUAUUCUUCUUUUCCUUAUAGCACUAGCGAUUACUACAAGAAGUGGACAAUAGAUGGUAAAGUAAAUUACCCUAAUUUCUCAUUAAGACACACAAAGCACCAGCUUUAGUUAAAGUUUAUGUCCCUUCUAUUGAAGAUAUAGUAUCCUAAAUGUCAAUGUUGUUUAAAUCAUAAGUAAGGUAUAAGCAUAAUUCAAAAGGAUAUAUAUAUAUAUAUAUCCAUAUUAAUCACAGGCAAAAUCAUAUUGUUAUGCAAAGGACGGAACAUCCAAUAGUUCACUUAUGUCAUUAUGCAGCAUGAAUUGUACAACUUUACCUGAUCACUCUCUCUUAAAUUGGACCAGUUCUUUUUCAAGAGUAGCUGUCUUGUUGUCUCAUAUGACAAGUUGAUGCGGUAGUUUAGAUCACCCAGCCAUAUGAUUCUCCUGGAAGGAAACAAAAAAUAGUAAUAAGCUGAUUUGUUUUGCGGUAUUAAAAGAAUGAAGAAUUAAAAAGAAGCACAGAAUGGGCAUCAAGUAGAACAUAUUUGAUUGCAUGUGGUAUUAGGUGAUUUUACCGGAAAAAUUGACGUGAAAGCUGCAAAAGACGUGAUAUCCUAGAAAUAUACAUAUUGAGCAGUAAGUAGUCUUUUCUGUUAACACAUCAGUUUCUUUUCACCAGAUUCAUAAAACAGCACAUGCAUUUAAUGUCCAGGUUUUACAACUCAAAAGAAAAUGGAGCCAUUUUAGUGCUCUACAGAAAGGGCAAGAGCAACUGAAUAGUUCUUUAUAGUGCAUGAGCAAAAUAAUAUGCAGCAUCACCAUGCAAAAACCAUCUUGCAACAUACAUUUGUUACUUCAUGUCGUAUUAUAUUUGAAGACAUUAGCUACCCAGUUUCUGCCAUCCAACAGGUGCAUAUGAAGUUAAAUUUCUUUUUCCUUUUUUCUUUCCCCCUGUUACGAACUAAAGUGAAGAUAUAGAGAAUUAACAAGAAGAGAAAAAGUUAAAGAGAAAUUCAAUAUUCUUGGGCCUCAAAACCACAAAGAAGAAUAAUAUAAAGAAGAAACAAAAACACAGAGAGAAAGAAAGAAGUCUAGUAGAUUUCAUGAGAAAGUAAAGUAGUACAACACAAGAAAAAGUUAGAAAAAAAUCAUCAAUAAAUGCAUAGCACUUACUCAUGGUCAUAAAUGCUUUUAGGUAGGCCCAUAACUGAAUGUGAAUUAAAAUGCGUCCUGCGAUGUAUUUCGUACACAUCAGCAUUUCUUUUCACAAGAUCUGCCUCUUUCUCACCUGACGUCAGGUGACUACACACGAAACAAAAGAGUGUCUGAUAUACAGACAUGCUAACUGAUAUUGAUCCCUGAAGGAAAAAAGUUUUAAUAGAGUUUAGGAUUUACAUGUGAUUAAUUAAAUGAAGGACAUUAGACAUUGACCAACUAAUUAGAUUAUUCUUAACACUCAUUUGCAUCCAUAAGCACUCAUGUAUCUAUUUCACAUGAGGAUGAAACAUGAUUACAAGAAAACAAAGAAAAAUGAAAAUGUGGAUGAAGAAAGUCGGUUUGGUUCACUUCAACUACCAAGCCAAAAGUGAUCCAACAUGGUGUUGUUAUGCCAUUUGACAAGAUAUUACCAUCAAGGUUAUUACUGAGAUAGUAUGUUACAACCUAUGUAUGAUACUAGCAUUAUCUACUGAAAGGUUUACAUGAACUUGCGAAACCCCUAAAGGAUUUAAACUUGCAUUUUAUUAGCAAUUUAAACCACAAUAUUCAAGAGGUUCAAGUAACAAGCAUGUUGGCCGCACUGAAUUGAAAGUAAAGAAAACCCAAACACUGAUUUUAAGUGGAGAAAAAAUCUAUCCCUGGAAGUCGAUGUUUAUUUUAUAUGACUUAAAUUAAUAACUCAGCCAAGUAGAAGAUGCACAAGGUGCCCAAAUCCCCAUUUCCUAGGUUAAGCUUGCACCCUCACUGAGACUAUAGAAGCCACGCAGCAACUAAUGUAGAAUAAAUAACAUGUAUAAUAUCAAGAAAAUCCAUGCUUCUUCAUUCACACAUAUCAUCGAAACUCCCAUCAAGGGAAACACUUACCUAAUACUGGAAAAGGAAUAAAAGAAACCAGAAUAGGUCAGCUUUUCAAAAUUUCGGCCAGAUAAUUAUCGGAGCAACAAGUUGAACAGAAUAAUUGAUAUCCAAGCUUAUGUUUUCCUCCCAGAAAGUUUAAAUGCUUCUUUCCACACCCAUCCUCCCCCAAAGAUACCUUGGCCUAAGAGUGGAUAUUACUCCUUAGUACAGGUAAAACAAGAUAUAUAAAACUGCAAUACUACUUGAUGGAUGAAACUCUAGUAAGAACACUACAAAAGUAUUAAUCGCUUCCUGUCAAAUAUCAUGAGCUCAAAGUCCUUACUCAAGCCAAUACAAGAAGCCUCGUAUUUUUCUUGACAAAGUCAUUGUUGUAUUAAGCAUACUUUUUGGUCUACAGGGAUGGCUGCAUAGUGUCACUCAUGACCCCUAUACAUUGGAUCAGUCCAACAAGCAUGAAACCAUUGGGCUAGUGGCCCAAUGGCAUAAAGCCUCACACUAAUUUCAUCUAUUCUGGUGCAUUUAAGCCAAAAAAUGAUCCAAAAGUAAAGGGAUGUAGCAAGAAUGUAAUCAUACUCCAGUUGAAAUAGUUUGCAAAUGCCAUGUGAAACUGAAUGCCACUAAUCCAUCUGUACAUGCAGACAGAUAACAUUGCAUGUUUUACUAUGAUCAACACAUUGCUAAAGCAUGACAUGGCAAAUGAGUAGCAACAAAAAUAGAGAUCAUCAUACAAUAUUCUAAAAUUAUCACAAGGGGAAUGAUAAGAGAAUGUGGUAGUGAAUGCAGAAGAAUUAUUGAAAGUAAGUCAACAUUUGACCAGAAGCAGACCUUGUUACCUAUGUAUCCCAUUGCACCCACACCAACAGUCGACACACUUAUGUUAUGUAUAUGCUUUCGCAAGUUUCUCCGGACCCAUAUGCUAAAGAAAACUCCAACCAUUUGUUUGCUUACUAUCCUCACAAAUGCUGGCCUUCUUUUUCUUUUUAUUAAGAAUUCAAGGUCAAGUUCCGCAAGCAAAGCUGCAUCUGAUUGUUUUCUAUUUUGAAUAUUCAUACCAGACUUCAAAGAACUAUAUUUUCUGUAGGAUUUUGAAGCUUUGAAUGACUUCAUUGAUUUGAAAGAAUUAGGUCUCUCCAAAAGAUGCUGAGACAGAAGAUCAAGAGGUGCCUCUGGCCAGCAAAAACCUAUUUUUUCUGUUCCACUCAGGGUUCUGAGUAAUUUACGGUCGAACUGCUUAUUUGGCUCUUCAGUUUCUUCACUAUCUUCUGUUCUAAAGCAUUUCAACCUAUCCAGCUUUUUUGGAGAAGAAAACUGUGUCUCCAAAUCUUGGUCAAUGGCUGAGAAAUCAUUCUUAUGGCUGUAGAAAGAAACAUCUGCAUUCAUAGCUUCAUUUUCUUCAUUGACUGGUCCAACCAUGUGUCCAUCAAAACCACUGGUUUCAUCAUUUACGGGAUAGAUUUCCUCCUCUCCAUCACUGUCAGAUUCAAGAAUGAUUU